GACGAACGCUGGCGGCGUGCUUAACACAUGCAAGUCGAACGGAAAGGCCCUGCUUUUGUGGGGUGCUCGAGUGGCGAACGGGUGAGUAACACGUGAGUAACCUGCCCCUGACUUUGGGAUAACUUCAGGAAACUGGGGCUAAUACCGGAUAGGAGCUCCUGCUGCAUGGUGGGGGUUGGAAAGUUUCGGCGGUUGGGGAUGGACUCGCGGCUUAUCAGCUUGUUGGUGGGGUAGUGGCUUACCAAGGCUUUGACGGGUAGCCGGCCUGAGAGGGGGACCGGCCACAUUGGGACUGAGAUACGGCCCAGACUCCUACGGGAGGCAGCAGUGGGGAAUAUUGCACAAUGGGCGGAAGCCUGAUGCAGCAACGCCGCGUGCGGGAUGACGGCCUUCGGGUUGUAAACCGCUUUCGCCUGUGACGAAGCGUGAGUGACGGUAAUGGGUAAAGAAGCACCGGCUAACUACGUG
rnacentral:rRNA from 1 species